CUGUGGAAGCCUAUGGAUACGACUUCAUCACGUUUGAGGUGUACUUUCGAAUAUUCGAAGGCUACUAUGUCUUCAUAUCGUCCAGCAAAGAAACCUUGGUAACUGUCUACAAGUCCGAUGAUAAAGCACUGAGAAGGUUCGAGAUUCACCUCGAGUUCAAAGGUGACUGGAGACGAACAGACCUUCCAAUUCAACGUUUCCACAGCACCCACCCCAUACAGGUGUUAUACUUCCACAAGUCUACGUGCAAGGCUAGACCUGACAAGCCUUCCAGUGAAGAGGGCGGCCCCAGCGUCACCAUUAUAGUCCCAACCAACCUGUUUUACUUCAAGUAUAUUUGGGGGUCGCCUUAUGAACUUGGAGAGCACCAUUACAUCACAAUAAUCAUCAAAACCAUAUACGUGAAUGACAUUUAUCACAAUGGGGUUCACCUUACGGAUAAGUGAGUCUUGACUCGUACAUCCACACAAAUAAAUGUAUCACCCAUACAAAUAAAUGUAUCACCCACACAAAUAAAUGUAUCACCCACACUAAUAAAUGUAUCACCCAUACAAAUAAAUGUAUCACCCACACUAAUAAAUGUAUCACUCAACACUAAUAAAUGUAUCACCCACACAAAUAAAUUUUAUCACUCAACACAAUUUAAUGUAUCAACCUUACAAAUAAAUGUAUCACUCAACACAAAUAAAUGUAUCACCCAUACAAAUAAAUGUAUCACC
rnacentral:sRNA from 1 species